AACAAUGGGAGUCUAAGUCCUAAAGCACAUAGUUCAGUUUGAUUUAUUAUACUCUUUCCAAAAGAUUAGUUGGUUAGACUCUCUCGUUUGAUUUAUAAUAUUGGUGCUUUUAUUGAAAGUCCCAUACAUGAGGUCGUGACUUGGAGUGAUGGCAUGUGUGCUAGUAAUGAUGGCCUGGACACAAGAGGGGUGUCAGUCAUGACCAACUAUGCCCAGCCGUGAUCAACGAAAAUCGAUCUACACAUGGACCAGCGACUUGGAGUAAUGGCGUCUUGUGUGCUAGGAGUGGUGGCCUGGAUCUGAGAGGGGUACCAGCCGUGACCAACAAGCAUGAGACCAAUUGGCCAUCAGCCAGCAGACAAGGGCAAGGGCAUAGCCCCAUCUCAAGACUCCUACGCUCAGACUCUACUAGGUAAUGUUAAUUUCAGACCACAAGACUCUGCAAAAAUGAUGGAAAGAAUUUAUUUUGGCCAGGUUAAUUUAAUCUCAUAUCCAUCAUGUAAUUUAUCAUUUAGAGUUAAACCAGAUUGUGCUUUAGAUAAGCCUCAGAGAUGUAUAGUAGACAAUCUAUGAAUAACAUAUAAUAAAAGAGAUACUAAAUAUUUUGUAGCUGUAACUAAUGCUUUAUGUCAAUAUUUUUCAGACAAAAAUAGAGAAAACAGAUUUAAAUAUUACGUAGUUAUACAUGAAAAAACUAAUGGAGUUUUUCAAACGUGGGUUGAAGUAGUAGACUCAAUAAAUAGGGUUAAAAACCCAUUUUCAAAGAUUUUAGUAAUUUUACUGAAGCUUUGAAUUACGCUAGAGGAUACCUUGGGCCUAAUUGCUAUAUAUCUCCAGCCCUCAAAUAAAAUCCAAACCAAAUAUCCCAAUACACGAUCCAAAAAUAUACAGGUAAAAUAAUUUUUGGUGAUAACUGUUCUACAAUGACUGAGGCCUUCAAAAGACUCAAUGCCCAAAAAGAAGUCCUUCUUCUUAAAAAUGCUAAACUUAUGGAGGAGGUGCAAAUAUUGAAGGAUAAGAUUAUUGGUGCUUCUCAGACUAAUGCAACCACCCAGACUUUGAGUUUUCCAUCUCAAAACAGAGUAGAUGAGAUGGGUGUGCAUUCCCCACUGAAUGCUAAGAAAUCCACUGUAUCGGAGGUAGAUACAGUUAAUCUGAUUGAAACGGUAGCCGGUAAAGACUUAUCAAAUCCGUUAAUGGCUGUCACUUUGCCAAAAAGUGAAGAUGAAGGUUGCUCUUGAUCAAGAGACCACCCAAAACUUGUACUCAGAAAGAUACCUCUAAAAAGACUUUGAAUUCAAAGAAGAAAAAAAUGACAAAAUUGAAGCUAUAAUAAAACAGACUUUAGAAAAAAUUUUCAAUAAUCAAGGACAAGACAAACAUGUUGUUAGCAAAGAAAGUCCAAGUAUGAAUACAGACAGAAUAGUCCCAAAUAUAGAUAAUCAGAACAACCCAGAUAAUAACAAUCCAAGUUCAGAAGAUGAAUUCCAUUGAAGUUUUGCUUAUCUCCAACAUGCACAAGAUCCUAAUGAAGAUGAUGAUUCAGGCAUGAGCUUCGACUCUGUUGCACUUCACAACUUGGAUGCCUAAUCAGACGGAGACAAACAAAUGAUAAAGAAGAUGGAUACAUAGUAAAAUAAGAAUCUAGUAUUAUGUAUGUAGGAUGUCACAUUAUGAUAAGGUGAGUCAUGUGGGUAUGCCCAUAUUAGUUAUGUAAAGUGCUUCCUUUAUCACUACCCUCCAAAAGAGGAAAAAACUGUUGAAGUACGCGUCUGUCAAAAGAAAAAUAAUACAUGUGACGAUGGGCCCAAUGUGUACCCAACUUGCAUUAUUAAGGAAUCUUAUUUUUUAG